GUGCAAUAAAGUCGUUCUUUUCUAGAAACUAAUAGGCAACAACUAUAUUACCAUUUGAAUCUUAUUAGCUUCUCUAUUCAAAUAUCGAAUCACUGAAGAAUCACACGUCACGAAACGCGGCAAUAAUUGCUUCCAAGAAACCAAAUAACUACUCGUCUCCAAGCAAAAAAACCUCUGCGGGUGAUCAGAGAGUUUCUAACCGCUCAGAAGUGAUGGAAGAACUGACCGCAUCUAGGAAACAGCGGAAUCUACCGCACUUCCUCCGGCCGCACCCAACCGAGAAUCAACUGUUCGACUCGUACUGCACGCACGUCCAGUUAACUAGCAGAGAUCGUUAAUAAGAAUGGAGAGGAAACACCAUUUUUAUUACGUUCUCAAACGAACCGUCAUUUCGUGAUUCUAACGCUUCGAAAUUUCUCCAUUAACUGAGAGGAAUUUGAUUGCGUCCAAAA